AACUCUUAACAUGUGUCCUAGUAAUUAAACCUGACAUGUAAACACUCAGUUAUGAUUUUCGGUGGUUUAGAGUUUUUUACGUCUGAAAAUCUCUCACUCGGUCAGAGCAUUUAGGUCUGGCAAGCACGAUUCAAAUUCUACAAUUUUCUUCCAAUUAUCGAAUGGAAUGCUCGAAAAUUCCAAUCCAUUUUUCAUAGAUUUUAAUGUUAACGUUUAUGAGGCACACAACAAAAAUUAUUCAAGUCUGUUGAUUCGCAGCAGCAGCACUGUCAAGCAACUUGAUGAGUUUUUCAUACUGCCAGCUGCACCCCACAUCGAAGGAGAAUCUGGCCAAAAUGGACAUUUUUAUGCAAAAGCGUCAGACGAGACCGACCGUAUCUGAGUAGCAGGCAAUCCUCCAGAAGGAGUAACUUGAGGUACCGGUGAAAAACUUCUUCCCGGUUAAAGAAGAGAAAAACUUCUUUUCGUACUCAUAAUGAAAGACAACACGUACUUGAUGCUGGAAUUCAACGAAUGCAAGGGACCGGAUGUUUUACGUUCCCCAGAUAAGUGAUGGCGACGAGUAUAUUACCCACAUCAAGUUCUCCAAGAUCAUUCUCUGACAAACGAAAAGAGAAUGUCCAAGCCGCUCUUCUUUCGAGUCAUAUGGUAAACUGGGAGAUAUACAGUACGAAGUGCUUGCCGGAAGUUGCGAAGGUGAUGUGGUUGAAUCUGGGAUCAAUCCAUUUUGCCCAAGGAUCACUGGAGGAUGACUUGCGCUUGGUGAACAUCUCCACCCGAUUUCUUCGCUCUUCCUCUAACAGUCUGGCGUGAUCCCAACUGUCCUGGUCGAGCAUCUUCUUCCCCCGGCAGAGACCAAUCAAGCGAGCCAGUACCAGCAGCGAAUGCAGGUCAUCCGAAGAUGCAUCGCACUGCCGACGCAUCCGUACGAAUUCGUCCUGAACAAUUGCCGGAUCGAACGAUUUCAUAUCGAACUCCUGGAUCCGCUGCAUCGUCAGAAACUUUCGCAUCGCAUCAAGCUUGGGCUGAAUGUAGUGUUUGCCGGCCUUGAUUGUUUCCUCGAUGAGCUUCGUUGCGUCCAAGUCGGGAAUCAACGGCCUGAAAUACAUUGAAAAAAUUGAGCAACACGGAUCAAUAUGUGCUGGCAUUCAUGCCUGAAAGUGAACAUUAGUAAACAUUUCGCAAUAUGGCCGAAAGGUUUUCGAACACAAUAAUAAUUCAAGAUGAAGCGCAUAACCUGCAGACAAUGUGCGAGGAGUAUGCAUCAACACGGUUCGAAUCACCCGACAUUGCCUUCUGAAUUGAUGAUAUCUACUCGGUUGUGCAUACCUAACUAACUGCCGAUUCCGAACGGCUGUCCAAAUAAAUUCAAUAUGCACCAACUGACUAGGUUAAAGGACCUGGUAAUCAGGUUUGGAAUUGAUCUUCUCGAGAAGAUUAACAUAAAAGAAAUCAAAUUGGAAGUUUUAACCGAUCUAAUAUAAUUCAACACAUGGCGGUAGUUUCCCGGAAGAGCUGGUUUAAGUGCGAUUCAUAUACAACAUCCACGUUACGUUCACGUUCCGUCCAGUCACGUUGCGUCAAUUAUUCUUCCAAGCAGUUGUUAUGCAAACAUUCACAUUCACUGGC